UAGCCCGACAUGAGAGCGAGCCGGCCUACAGACCAACCCGCCGCACUGUCCUCUCGCAACCCUAGCGCCGCCGGUGCGCCAACGCCUGCCUGCCGACGCGCCGCCGCCGUCCCUCGCAUCUCCGUCUUUUCUCCAUCGCCGCUCGCAGUGGCCGUCCGAAGUCGCCGUGCAGCCAUCUCCUGCAUCAGCUAGCACUCCCUCCGUUGGUCGCCGCCGGCAGCCCGACGAUCUGCUCCGUCCAGCCUCGCCCGCAAGAUCAACGCCGGCAGCCGUACGACCUGCUCCGUCCAGCUCAAGAAAAUGUCAAGUGUGUCUGCCGAAUGGACCGAUGAGAACACUCGGAUUAUCGUCGAGUUGUUUGUGAAACAAGUGAGGGCUGGAAAUAUGCCAAACACUCAUUUGACACUCAAUGCAUAUGAUGAGGAAGGAAAGGAGUUCCUGAUGAGAAUUGGACUUGAGUACUUACAAAAGCAAGUGAGAAACAAAUGGGACAAGUUAAAACGUGAGGACAACACAUUCAAGAAGCUCAAGUUGCGUGAGACUGGAGGGGGGUGGGACUUUGAGAAAAACACGAUGAAAUAAGAUAACGAGUGGUGGAAAAAGGCGAGAGUUAGAUUUUGUAUUGGAGACUAGAUGCAAUGAUCAAUAUCAAAAAUGAUGGAAGAUUUUUUUAUUGAAACCCUGUACUGACUGAUGCGUAUUGUUUUAUUAUUUGAGCUAGAGAUGUUGUUUGCUGCUUGUUGGAUGCAUGUUCUGUUCUAUUAGUAUUUAGUUGCCGAUAUGUUGUAUGUACCCACUGGAUUGCUGUAGUAUUAUGGAAGCCUAUUGCAUCUUUUGUUAAUAUAGAGUACAAUUUUGCAAGUAAUCUGAACAAAUUUCUUUUGACAUGGCAUACUCUUAAUUUUCUAGUAUUUGCACAUGUCACGGGACGAUACUAUAUAUUUCAAAAAG